UUCGAUUCACUCCUCUGUUUGUUUCUCUCUCCACCCAUUUCCAAUCACUCACAAACACCCGACGGAAAACGUGAAAACGACCUACCACCACUUCCAUCACCGGAAUCAGCCAUGUACGUCCGGCACAUCGGAUUCCGGCCGCCGUCGACAACCUUCCCCCGCUGAAUUGCCACCAAUCCCUUUUAACAAUCGAACGACAAGACGGGAAAGAAUAAAACAUCCGAGUAUAGCCCCGGAUAAAUAUCUAAUUCUUAUAUUUCACCCAUAAUUUUUCCCCUUCUUUUCACUUGUAC
rnacentral:lncRNA from 1 species